UACGUAGGUGGCAAGCGUUGUCCGGAAUUACUGGGCGUAAAGCGCACGCAGGCGGUCUCUUAAGUCUGAUGUGAAAGCCCCCGGCUCAACCGGGGAGGGCCAUUGGAAACUGGGAGGCUUGAGUAUAGGAGAGAAGAGUGGAAUUCCACGUGUCGCGGUGAAAUGCGUAGAGAGGUGGAGCAACACCAGUGGCGAAGGCGACUCUUUGGCCUAUAACUGACGCGGAGGCGCGAAAGCGUGGGAACCAAACAGG
rnacentral:misc_RNA from 1 species